UACGUAGGGUGCGAGCGUUAUUCGGAAUUACUGGGCGUAAAGCGUGCGCAGGCGGCGCGUUAAGUCAGGUGUGAAAGCCCCGAGCUUAACUUGGGAAUUGCGCUUGUGACUGGCGAGCUGGAGUGUGGCAGAGGGAGGUGGAAUUCCACGUGUAGCAGUGAAAUGCGUAGAGAUGUGGAGGAACACCGAUGGCGAAGGCAGCCUCCUGGGCCAGCACUGACGCUCAUGCACGAAAGCGUGGGGAGCAAACAGG
rnacentral:rRNA from 1 species